CCUACGGGAGGCAGCAGUAGGGAAUAUUGCUCAAUGGGGGAAACCCUGAAGCAGCAACGCCGCGUGGAGGAUGAAGGUCUUCGGAUUGUAAACUCCUUUUGUUAGAGAAGAUAAUGACGGUAUCUAACGAAUAAGCACUGGCUAACUCCGUGCCAGCAGCCGCGGUAAUACGGCGGGUGCAAGCGUUACUCGGAAUCACUGGGCGUAAAGAGCGCGUAGGCGGGAUAGCAAGUCAGAUGUGAAAUCCUAUGGCUUAACCAUAGAACUGCAUUUGAAACUGUUAUUCUAGAGUAUGGGAGAGGUAGGUGGAAUUCUUGGUGUAGCGGUAAAAUGCGUAGAGAUCAAGAAGAAUACUCAUUGCGAAGGCGACCUGCUAGAACGUAACUGACGCUGAUGCGCGAAAGCGUGGGGAGCAAACAGGAUUAGAUACCCCAGUAGUC
rnacentral:rRNA from 1 species